rnacentral:rRNA from 1 species
UACGUAGGUGGCAAGCGUUAUCCGGAUUUAUUGGGCGUAAAGGGAACGCAGGCGGUCUUUUAAGUCUGAUGUGAAAGCCUUCGGCUUAACCGGAGUAGUGCAUUGGAAACUGGGAGACUUGAGUGCAGAAGAGGAGAGUGGAACUCCAUGUGUAGCGGUGAAAUGCGUAGAUAUAUGGAAGAACACCAGUGGCGAAAGCGGCUCUCUUGUCUGUAACUGACGCUGAGGUUCGAAAGCGUGGGUAGCAAACAGG